AUUAGGGCCUGAAGCAUCUCAUGUAUGAGGAAAGGCUGAGAGACCUGCGACAUUUCAGCCUGGAGAAGACUGAGGGGUGAUCUCAUCACUAUUUAUAAAGUAGUGGAGUGGAUGUAGCCAGGCUAUUUUCAGUGGUGUGCAAUAACAGGACAAGGGGCAAUGGGCAAAAACUGGAACACAGGAAGUUCCAUACAAACACAAGGAAGAGCUUCACUGUGAAAGUAACAGAGCUCUGGAAUGGGCUAGUCACAGAACCAGGCUGAACCAGCCCAUAAACCAUUGACAUACAAACUGAGAGCCUGGCCAUCAGAAUCUGAGCACCUGGCCAUCAGAAAUUCCAGUUCUGUGAGGUGCAGCAAGCACAGACUGAUCAGAGAAAUAUAAAAUAAAUGCCACCAGCCAACAACAAAACUCUUCCCUCAUUAUUUUCUCUUGAGACUUUGGUUUUCUACACUUCUACUUUUUUCCUUCCUCUCCCCUGGGUAAUGAUACACGUUUGUCAGAAUAGCUUUAUGUGGUAUCAAUCUUUAUAAAAAGUGUUCUCAGUGUGCUGUAUAUGUAAGAGUUCAACAUUAACAGGCAAAUCCCAGAGUUUGCUGUCAGUCUUGAUUGGGCUUGAUUUAGCUCUAAACUUUUUCACAAUCAAUUAUAAUGUCUUCAUCACCUUGCUUCAUUGUUUAGCAGCUACCAUGCAGUCUCUCCAACUUCUGUUUUUCUAUUAUGUGGAGCAAUUGCCUUGGGACUAGCAGUAUAUCUUAUAGAAAAUGUAAUAGAGGGGUGUAGAUCCUUAGGGGUUUUAGAGGGGCUGUUCAGAGAUGGCCUUAACUAGUUUCAACAACAAGAAGAAAGCUUAAAACUAGGCCUGCUUAUCAAGAGUUCUGUUAAUAUUGAUGGUCAUCCAAUGUCUGGACACCCGUUGGUGGUCUAAGAGAGCACUGCAAUUCACAGAAAGGGUUCCUACGUGUUUAUCUAUUUUUUUUGCUUUCCAGUACUAGACCGAGGACUUAUAACAUAUAGUGUAUAUAAAACUCUUUAGAGAAGAUCUUGCAAGUCAAGCUGCGAUCAUUUUCCUUCUUUGUUCUGUAUUUUGUUGUUUUUCCACCAGAUUGGAUUAAUCAUGAUUCAGAAAGCAGUCCAUCCCUAAAACAUGUUUUGAUCUUUUAGAAUCUCUGUUUCAAUGAUAAUCCAGAUCAUUGCCUGUGACUAGAGACUAAUAGAGGGUCUUGUUUAUCUGUCCUUGUGGAUCAUGUCAUUGUGAAUUUAAUUUCUCAUGCCAUGGCACUGCCAAAAUUUUGCCCACUCAUGACUGCAUUUCCAUAGCUUUUAUCUAGAGAUUCCUUGAAGUACCAAUUUUGGUUAGAAUGUUCUAUUAUUUGAUAUAUAUAUAUAUUUUCCAUUUAGAAUACUUAAUACGAUGAGAGGCCAAUGCCACAGUUCGUGAGAACCAUGUUGAGCAGUGCACACUCAGCAGAUAUGCGAAUUAAUGGGAUGUGGUAUGAUGACAUACAUAGACUUAUAGUAGUAGUGUUUGUGGUGGUAUCCUGGAUCGUGGGAAGCAAUGUUGGUACAGUUUGCAUUCAUAUGGCUCAGACCUGGGUCAAUUAUAUCCAGAUUCUUUCAGGUAGCACUUAGUAAAGCAAUUCCCUCUGCCAGGCAUCAGGCAAUGCAGUGAGCAGCUAACAAACAGAGUUAGCAGUUAGGAGGAUGGAGCUCGGGGAAAAAAAACAGUGAGCAAACCAAAAUGACAGGAUUAGAGUUAUUAUGACACUCUUAAUUUCAUUUUCACUUUCUGCAUGUUUUAAACAAAAGGUUUUGCCAAUGAACUUAUUUUUUUAUCUCAUUAGUCACAGUGGCAUUAGUGACACUUUGUGGAAGUGUGGAGGAUGAGGAAUGGUUUUUAACCACUUCUUUUCUCAUUUCUAUCCAGAAAGGAUUUGAUCUUUGUGUAAAAGCAUAUAAACAUGCUAUUCCUCACAUUCUUUUGUCUUUUUGUUUUCUCAUUUUAGAACAAGUAAUGGAGUCUGUACAUUACAUUACAUUGAACUUCAGUAAGGUUAAAGCCACAGAGCUGCUUGUAACAUAAAUAUAACUUCAAGCUAGUUGGUUGGAUCAAUUUCAACAUUAAAAAUAUUUUUCUUCUCCUUGUUAUUGGUGAAACUUGAUGAUACCCUCCAGUAAUCCUGUAGUAUUGCCUGUGCUGCAGUAUAAGAACCAUUGCCCCAUCUUGAAUAAGCUGCUUAUUUAAGCUCCUCAUCCAAGCAUUCCUGCCAUGAAAGAGGUGUUUAUUAGGAUUAGUUACUUUAGGGGAAAUGGGAGAGCAGAGCAGAAAUUGAGGCUUCUUGUGUGGAGAAAGCUGUAUAGGAAAUACUAUAAAGGUAAAGAAAUAAAAAGUGUCACACAGAAUAGCACAGUUCUUUGUAAUGAGUGUCUCGUCUCUGUGUUCAGCGAAAGUGUAACUGUUUAGCUCCCCCUGCUGAUCUGAAAUAAUUGAGCUGCUUUUUUAGAGCAGGUAGACUUGUAUGUCCCUCAAUAGACUUGUUAAUCCCCUUUUUUAAGAGGAAAAGAUAGCAAUGAUUUAAUUUCUAACGUCGCUUCUGACAGUAAAUGUUAUAAACACGAUAGACAAACUCUCCUUCAGGCACUACAGUGAUAUCUUUGAUUCACACAAUGAUGUCUUUCCUUUUUCCUUUCCUUUUUAGAAUUGGUCAGCUGGAAGGGCUCUGCAAAGAUCACUGAGUCCCACUGCCUGAGCAAUUCAGAGCUAACCAAGGGUUAAAUGUAUAUUAUUGAGGACAUUAUCCAAAUGCUUCUUGAGCAAUGACAGGCACAGGGCAUCGAUCACCUUGCUAGGAAGCCUGUUGUAAUGUUUGACAGUAAGGGCACCUCUCAGCUUCCUUUUCUCCCAACUAGACAACCCAAGUGUCCUCAACCCCUCCUUGCAGUACAUGCCUUCCAGCCCUGCUGGCAGCUUUGCUGUCCUCUGAAUGCUUUCAAGUAUUUUACCAUCCUUUUUAUGUUGUGGAAACCAGAACUGCAAGCAGUACUUAAGGCUGCACAAGUGCUAAAUAUAGCAGAAGAAUCUCUUCUUUGACUGGCUGGCUAUGCUGUGUUUAAUGCACCCCAAGAUGCAGCAUGCUCUUCUGGUGUCCAGGGCACACUCAUACUGAGCUGCUGUCACCAGCACCUCCAGGUCCUUCUCUGCUGAUCUCUCCACCCACUUGUUUCCCAGUCUGCACCUGUGUCCAGCAUUACUCUGUCACAGGUGCAGCACCCAGCAUUACUUUUGUUGAAUUUCAUGUUGUUAAUGGUUGUCCAAUGCUCCAAUGCAGUUGGAUCACUGAUAAAAAUGUUGGACAGAAUUUACUCUAAAAUUAAGCGCUAUGGGAUACUGCUAGUGACUGGUCACCAGUGAGGUGUAGCCCCAUUCACUGUAACCCCUGGAGUUUUAAUAUUGACCCAGUUCAUCACCCAGCAAAACACAAACCUGUGUUAUCUCGCAGAUAAGCGGUUUAUCCCUAAGAAUGCUGUGAGCUUCCAACACAGGAAAGAUAUGGAGCUUCUGGAGAGGAUCCAGAGGUUCAGAGGGCUGGACAUCCUCUCCUAUGAAGACAGACUGAAGGAGCUGGAUUUCUUCAAUCUGGAGAAGUGAAGGCCGUGGGGAGACCUCAUUACAGCCUUCCAGUAUUUAAAGGGAGAUUAUAUACAGAAGGGAAGUGAACUUUUUACACAGGUAGAGAGUGAUAGAACAAGCGGGAAUGGUUUUAAACUAAAGGAGAGAAGACUUAGGAUAGAUGUCGGGGAAGUUUUUCACUGAGAUGGUGGUGAGGUGAUGGAACAGGUUGCCCAGAGAGGUUGUGGAUGCCCCAUUGUAGGAGAACUGUUAGGUCAUGGCAUGAACUGGUGAUUGAGUGCCCUGUGAAGCGGUGUGGUUGGCCCUGUGCUCCCCACCUAGCCAGAAGGGGAGUACCUAGGUUGGAUUCAUCCUUGGCUCAUAUAAGGGCCAGCCACUGAAGGGAGAGCAUUACUUGGGUGUAGACUGUUUUCUGAGAUGGAGUGCUGGGUAGCCAGACAUCCUCUUCAGCAGCUGGUUGAGUUUGACGCUCCUUUUUGCAUAAGAGUGCUGACCUACUUGUGAGUACUGUGCUUGAGACUGCCAAGAAUCUGCCAGAAGAAAUUUUGCUUCUUUGUGACCUAUCCCUACAGGUGUUCAAGGCCAGAUUGGAUGGGGCCCUGGGCAACUUGAUGUAACAGUUUGCCACCCUCCUUGCAGUAGGGGGCUUUGAACUUGAUGAUACUUGAAGUCCCUCCCAACUCAAGCCAUUCUAUGAUUCAGUGCUUAUUGUCUAAGAAAUCCCUAAAGCAGAGGUCAGUUAUAUUCUCAUUUGCACUUGGAACAGGAUCCCCAGAACAGUGAUACCAGCACCAAGCUGGCCAGAGUUCAAGAAGUUUCUGGACAAUACUCUCAAAUGUAUGGUUUGAAUUUUAGGUCAUCCUAUGUGGAACAAGAUGUUGGACUUGAAAAUCCUUAUGGGUCCCUUCUAAAUCAGGAUAUUCCAUAAUUCUGUGGUCCAUAAAGUGGAUGUGAACUGCAGCUCCAUACUACUUCUAUGAAGCCAGACCUCACUUCCAGAGGUCAUGUAUUUUAUUUUUCUGCCCAGGUUCUGGUUCCAGGAGGAGUUCCCUGUUCAUUCAGAUCAUAGAAUCAUAGAAUGGCCUGAGUUGAAAAGGACCACAAUGAUCAUCUUGUUUCAACCCCCUUGCUAUGUGCAGGGUCGCCAACCACCAGACAAGGCUGCCCAAAGCCACAUCCAGCCUGACCUUGAAUGCCUCCAGGGAUGGGGCAUCCACAAUCUCCUUGGGCAAGCUGUUCCAGUGAAAGUAUUCAGUGAAAGUAUUCCAGGUCAGUAUUCCUCUCUUGUUUGUCUUAUGACACAGUGGGAUUGUCUGCUCCUGAGCUUUCAAAAGAUGAUUCUUGGAAAAAAAAAAAGAAACAACUCUCAUGGACCCCUAAACCCCUUAGAGCAGAUUCUUAUGGGACACUACUAGCUAGCUCCCUGAGAAGCUCAAAGUUUAGUCCUAAAGGACUAAAGUGGCAACUCUGAUCUUUUUUCAGCUUACACCAAAAAUUCUGCACUUGACUAUUUAAUGAUCUCUGUGGACAAGACAGCCACCUACCAUCACCUCCCCCACAAGUUCUUCAGUAUUCUCAAGCAGAUCUAAGUGGGCUCCUCGGCUUAGUGUGUUUGUGACAGGAACUUUUUUCUUCAACAUACUUUAGGACUUGCUUUUCACAGCAGUUGGACAUUCCCAGUUUAUAUAUGGGAAGGUAGUCUCCAGAAAGGAUAGAGACAUCUGAUCCAAAGAUUUCUCCCAUAACAGAAUAGCUCAUUCAUGCUGUUGGGUGGCUGGUCAAUAGCAGACACCUGUGACAAUGUCUGCUUUGCUAUUUAUCCCUUUAAUCUUUACCCAGAGGUUCUCUACCAUGCAGUCCCUAACAGCAAGGUCUGUGCAGUCUAAUCUCUCCUUUACAUACAGCAUACAGUGCAACACUUCAACCUCACUAAUCCUGCCUAAGCUCCUGAACAACUGAUAGCCCUCCAUACCAUCACUCCAGUUGUGGGACUCAUGCUGCCAAGUUUCACCCCAGUUAUGUCAUAGUGUUGGGAAGGGGACAAAACCUUCCAGUUCAAGCAGCUUGUUCCUCAUACUGCAUGCAUCAGUAUACAAGCAUUUCAGAUGUGCUCAAUUAAAAUGAAGAGUUCUGGGAGGAAUCUGUUUAAAUAAAGUCUGUAUUGAGAUUUUAUCAUGGAGAUUAUGUGAUAAUUAUUGAAUGGUAUGGAAACUCAAAUGCAGAAAUGGUAUAGAAAUGUUAGGAAAAAAGAUGAAAAAAAAAGCAUUGGAAUCAACUCACUGAAUGUGUAAUUUGUGCACUUAUUUAAUUCAUUUUGCUAUCACAAGAAAUUAACAGAGGCUGAGUUAGGAAUUUGUUAUAUGGCUGGCAGAUCUUGUAGCUCAUAAAGUUCAGCUGUGAAGAGGGAAGUAAAUAAGAGGGUCAUAGUUAAAAAUAGAAAGCCUUUGAAAUGAUUGUCUUAUCUCUAUCCUCAGCAGAAAUAGAUGACAUCUUUUUCCUGAUCAGUAGGUAGAUAAAAGUGUAACAGUCCUGGACUGGUAUCAUAGCAGAUUAAUUGGCUUUGACAGCAGUGCAUGGAUUAUACUAAGCACGUAGUCCACUCGUGGUACUGAAAUUAAAGUCUUGAGGCACACACCAAGUUAAAUUCACUAAAACAUCUAGACAAGCACGGGAUCAGAGUACUUUAACAUUAGGCAAAACUUAGCUUUUCGUAAAAGCAUUAAGAGUUAAAUAGUUGUUAAAUGAGCUGUUAAACAAGUUGAAUACUAGGUAACCUUAUUCAGCAGUUCAUAACCUGAUUGAUUUGAUUUUUACCACAUGAUUUUCUGUUGUGUAUGGAAAUGUGGAAAAUGGAGAUCAGAGCCACGUGAUACAAAUUCUACAGCACAAAUAAGAACACUCAUCCACAAAACAGAGCUUCCACAAGACCUGGGAGUGAUUAGAGAUAAUGCAUUAGCCAUCUGCACAAUGUCUGCUAGCAGUGAGAAGGUAAACAAAGUCCUGGCAUGCAUUAUGUCUCUAGAAGUGAGAUGUAUGAACGAGAACUUAAAUACAUACGGAGCAGUAGGAAAGCAUCUUUUAGAAUACUCUGAGAUUUUCUAUUUAUGGUAUUUUUUGAAGACUAUAGGAAGAUAGAAAACAUCAAGAAGCUGCAACAGAAGGUGCUUUGACUAACACUGGAAGCAAAGGAAAUAUCCCAUAAGGAAUGGAAAACCAGACUGUUCUGUAUGCACAAAGGAAGCUGAGACCUCAGAUCUGAAAUACCCUAAAAGGGGAAGACAGAUGUUAAUGCAAGGUGUUUAAAUACAAUGACAGCUAACAGAAAAACAAACACAAAGGUUAAAAUAAAGUUAUAGAUUGGUACUCUGAAGCGAAUUGGACAGAAUUAGGGCAUUCACAACUAACUGAUGCACACUGUAUAGAAAAAAUAUACAUUAACUUAAAGGUGUACUUAGCAUGGCAGCACUGUGCCCAUGAAAGAACUUGAGGAAAGUAGACCAAUUAAUCUUCCCAUCUUACAGAUAAUCUGUCUGUGCUAACUGUUACAGUGGCUGUUCUCUGGAAUGGAUGUGUAAUAACUUUGGUGAUGCAGAGUGUGUAGGUGACAUAAUUUUCAGUUUAGCCCUGUUUUAAAAGAUAUAUUUGCAGUGAAACUUAAGGAAAGGAAUAGUGACAACCUGAGAUGAAUGACUAACUUUGCAAAGGUGAGAUACAAAAGGAAACUUCAUACCUUUCCUUCUAUAUAGCUUCAGAGUACCUAAAUGUAGGAGUAACCCACACAAGACAGCUCUAAAGGCAAUGGGAAGCUGUAGGUCCGCUUGAUAUACUGCUCAUGUAAAUGCAAAACAAAACCUUCAUCUACUAUUUGUAGAAUAAAUGUAAUCUGUUGGAAAUAAGUAAAUUAAUAAAGAUGGAACUCCCAAAGCGA